rnacentral:rRNA from 1 species
AUUGAACGCUGGCGGCAUGCCUUACACAUGCAAGUCGAACGGCAUCGCGGGAGCAAUCCUGGCGGCGAGUGGCGAACGGGUGAGUAAUAUAUCGGAACGUGCCCUAGAGUGGGGGAUAACGUAGCGAAAGUUACGCUAAUACCGCAUACGAUCUAAGGAUGAAAGUGGGGGAUCGAAAGACCUCACGCUCAUGGAGCGGCCGAUAUCUGAUUAGCUAGUUGGUGGGGUAAAGGCCUACCAAGGCGACGAUCAGUAGCUGGUCUGAGAGGACGACCAGCCAAACUGGGACUGAGACACGGCCCAGACUCCUACGGGAGGCAGCAGUGGGGAAUUUUGGACAAUGGGGGAAACCCUGAUCCAGCAAUGCCGCGUGUGUGAAGAAGGCCUUCGGGUUGUAAAGCACUUUUGUCAGGAACGAAACGGUGAGGGCUAAUAUCCUUUGCUAAUGACGGUACCUGAAGAAUGAGCACCGGCUAACUACGUGCCAGCCGCCGCGGUAA